UGACUCUCCAAAUCAUGGUAGGAACCCAAAUCAAGGUAGCCCUUCUGGUCUAUUUGGAAAGGUGGCCUAAUGUGCCUUAUCCUUUGGUUUGACUUAAGGGAAUAUACCACCUUUCCUAAUGCUUCUUCUUACCUGUAAAACUAAGACAGAAAUACAAACUCCAUGCUUAAAGACUGGUUCCCACACCCUCUACAGGGAACACAUUCAGGCUACUUGUAGGAAAAAAAAAGAUACAAGAGCACCAGUGCCACAAGUGAACUUUAUUUCAACAUACUCAUUAUGUACAUGAAGUUUAAAAGGUAGCAUUUAUUAGGAUUAAAUGCACCACUGAACAACACUAAGUUUGUCACCAUGCUAGCCCUGUACCUCUGAAGGCUCUGCCCAUGUCAGAUAAUGGGGUGUGUGUGUGUGGGGGGGACGACCCUGAAACCCUGCAGCAAUCUUCCAUGCCUUAAAAUUCACAGGGCACUUUCUGAGCAGAUCCUUUAUAAAUUAGCAAUAUGAUAUAAACUGCUUACCCAAACAGAAAAGCCCAGAAUUGUGACAAAGCAGACACCUCUAUACAAGGUGACGGGGGGCUCACUGGCAGUCAUUAAGACACCCAGAAUGGACCCUGCCCACUGAGUUUCUCCACUGCUUAGCCUGACUCACCUACUAAUGCUCUGAGGACAGACAACCACAUAGUGUCAGUUACAGAACAGAAGUCCAUAUACAUACAACAGACUUAGUAACCCUGAAUCGUUCUCUCUCCCAGCAGCUGCAGGUUGCACUGUGUCAGGAAUUACGUAGCACUGACUCUUCAAACCACGCACAGGGAAGGAAAAGUCCAGCUGGUUGGUUUUCUGUGCUUAGGCUUGCCUGUGAAAACGAACAUCUCAAGGGCUUUUAGUGAAAUCAACACUUUGUAAAGUCUUAAUAGUGCCUCCUUCCUAGUACAGGACAAACUUAAGAACUAUUUACAUUCAACAUACAAGAAAACAGUAAGUCUCCUUUCCUGAAAGAGCCUUCAGGCCUAAGUCACCAACAUCAAUGUGUAAAGACCUAAUCUGUUUUUAAAUUAGAAACAAGACAUCAAGUGGUCUCCCCAUCUGUUGAAACAAAAUUUAUAGAUCUGCUUGAUGCUCUUAGUGUGGAGCCAAACUUUUUAAGUGAAAACUGAAAAGAAUCUUGGAAAAAACUCUGCUUUACUGUGAGGCCCAUAAGGAAAUGUAUUUAUCACUUUCCUUACUAGAAUGAAAUCUCAAUUCAAGUCAACAACAUUCUAAACACAAAUGCCAUCCAAUGACACUAAGAAUACACAAUUGAUAGAACCCCUUUAUAUAGAAGUACAUGAAUCAUGUUGAUAUUAUUAUAGGACUUGCCAUGUUAAACAAUGUUUAAGUAAUCACCUAAAGCAACUUUAAUUCACUCCUAAGGUGUAAGAACUCUUAAUCAUUGUACAAUUCUGAUGAUCCUGAACCUGGUAUCUUACAGUCAACUCCACAUAUGCAAAGUCCUUACCUUGCUGCUCAGGAAUCCAAGACUUAAGCUUCUUACAUUUCUUUUAAAAAGCAGAACACAAGAGACAGCAAACUUAACUUUGGGCGGUCUAAAGCAAAGGCUAUGAAAAUUUCAAAUUAAGACAAUCCUUUUUUCAGGGUUAUACACUUGCCUAAAUACUAUCAGCUCUGAUCUGGUUUAACGGCUCACCCUUAUUCAUUUGACUAUUCUUAGGUUUCAUUCCAAUGGCAUCUUUUCACACAGCCUGGAACCAACAGUGCUGCCCAAUUCUAGACACAGGAACUCUAACUGCAAACAUUUUCUGAUAUGAAUUCCAGUGCACCUUGUUCGUCAUCUUUGCUUUUUCAGGCAGCACAUGCUAACAGUUUGAAGGUCCUACUUACACGGCAUGCACACCAGCAACACAGAGCUAACCACCUGUUAGCUGCUGCCACCAAUCUCACGCAUCAGCAACAGUAGCACCAGAAAAACCUCAUCCUAAAUGUCACACUUUAAUAGAAAAACCCUCUCUACACAGUGAUUCAAAGACUAGUUUUGUUAACUCCUGUCAAUUGAAUAAGGGUUUGAGUAAAAUAAACCUGGACCCUCUAGGUUCCAAGUAAGAGUAGGGCACCACUGUAACAACAUACCAGAAUACCUGUGGGUCUCUAAGCCCACACACAAAAAACCUGUAAACCAGACAUGCAAACCCCAAGUGAAAUGGUUUAGUAAAACUAAAAACCUAAUUCCAAUAAAAAAACUUGUGUUACACUAGUGAAAGCAAUAAAAGUUACAACGAGUUCGUACACCAUAACAUUUUUACAGUGGAAAUCGGCAUGGCAUCUUCAGCAAUAUUUAAUUUUCACAUCUUCUGGUCACAAUCCCCACCAAACUCAACAGGCCGGGACAAGUGCAAUACCAUCGAGAAACACAGCAUUGCAACAAAUCCCAGCCUGUGUAGAAAGGGGUUUGAUUUUCCCUCACUGUUCUACAGACUUUUCACCACCACAGUCAGUUUUGCAUGGAUUUGCACAGCAGAGUAUUAUACAGCUGGAUGCAAACCUGCAAAACUAACCAUAGACCAGUGCUCAGUACCAGGACCGUUUGAGUGGGUGAAGGGCGAGCGGGCAAGCGGGCGAGCGAGGCUGGG
rnacentral:lncRNA from 1 species